GUUCUGUAAUCAAAAAUGUACAUGAAUACCCAUGUCUAACUGUUUUUAUAAACAAAUAAAAAAUCUGUGUUAACCGCUUUAUUCUUGUCACCAGUGGAGCAAUUUUAUUCAAACAUAUAAAAUUAUUACGGUUAACACGUAAAUAAAUAAUGUCACAUUGUUAUGGUAAAUAUCUUUAUAUAUAAAAGAGGCUUUGUUUCUCUCCCAGGGUGUCCAGCUCGGAUGCCACGUCAUCAAUUCACUCAUUGUCAAAGCAACACGUGUCAUGGACGGCUAAAACUCACCGCAUCAUUUAGACUGCAUCAAGAUAGGCUUUUAAUGAUUUUGGGCUCUAGGUAAAGUGUAUUUUGCGGCCCGUUUAGAUAUCUUCGUCCCUAGCCCCAAUUCUAAAGACUCAAGGACAUGGAUGUCCGUCUCUCUUCUCUGACGGCCGCCUGAGUUCCUCCGUGCUAUCUGAAACGUUCUGAAUAAUAUCUUCCUCUUGCCAUCAGUUCCAUUUUCCCUUUUCCCUUUUCACGAUUUCAGUGUAACGUCUCCAUAAGAGUUGACAACUUCUUCAAUUCCCUGAUAAAAGCUUAUUAGCUCCAUUUACUACGCCGUAUUUAAUACAUCUUAACCUUCCUCUACAUCGGUUGCAAUCAAUCUCUUAUAAAUAGACAUGCCUCUCUGCGUUCUUCCCAUCACUGCAUCACGAAUACAGAUUCAUUGAGUUCGGAAGCGAGGAAGAUGCUGACUGUGCAAUUAAAAUUUUGUGAGAUGAAUAAGCUUCAUGGGAAACAUAUACAUCUAAACAAGAGAACAUUGCAGAAGCUGCAGUUCAAAAAGAAAGUUGUGAAUUAGAAUUUGAAUGGGACAGUUGCAAAAAGAUAAACAAGAGAUUUCAUCUGAGCUUUUCUUAAGUUGGGGGCGGAGAAAGUAAGGACAAUGGAACACAACAAAAUGAGAGAAGUAGAAUCUGCACACGCCAAGACAAGAGAAGAUGAGCAGAUUUGUAGAAAGUAAAAAGAUCAUCAAGAGAGACCAACUAUAAGAUAGUUCUCCACGCAUGGAUUAUAUAACAGAAUUGGUAACUGAUAUACAUAAGAUAUUUCUACAGAUUUUCUAGA